GCUGUCUGGGCUUGGUGCCAAGGGCUGGUAUUUCACAGCAGCGACCGCCUCACAGACGAGCUGUGGGAAGCAGGAGGGAGACUCUCUCUUAGGGUGCCACUACUAUGGAGACACAGCUGGGCUGAACAAGAUUUGCUUCAAACGACAACAAGAGAGACAGAAAGUAUCUGGUUCAACCGCUGCCCAAGCAGGCAGGCACCAGAAGAGCUAGCAGCCAAUCCCGCCAUGCUUGAAGCCAGCUCUGCAGCUCAGCCAAUCAGUGACAUCACUGGAAUUUCUUCAGAUUGCACAUGGUGAUGUGAAGAUGGAAUUUAAUGACAAUAAUCAGUCAGUGCUUUGCUUGGAGUCAGUUCAAUACUCUGGAGACCAGAUAUCUAAGUGAUGUGUUAAAAGGAAUGAAAUUAAGAAGAAGAGCAGAGGAGAAUUUCAUCACUGUGAAUGA